AACGAACGCUGGCGGCAUGCCUAACACAUGCAAGUCGAACGAGCCCUUCGGGUCUUGUCGCGUACGGCUGUGUCACGCGUGGGAACCUGCCCUUAUGUUCGGCCUAACUCUCAGACUGGGGUGCUAUUACCGGACCAUGUCUUCGGCCCAAAGAUUUAUCGACCUUGUAUGGGCCCGCGUUGGAUUCGCUGGUUGGUAGGGUAAAAGCCUACCAAGGCGCCGAUCCAUAGCUGGUUAGAGAGAAUGGUCAGCCACACUGGGACUAGGACGCGGCCCAGACUCCUACGGGAUGCAGCAGUGGGGAAUAGUGGACAGUGGGCGGAGUCCUGAUCCAGCAAGGCCGCGUGAGUGAUGAAAGCCUUAGAGUUGUAAUGCGCUUUUACCCGGGAUGAUAAUGACAGUACCGGGAGAAUAAGCGCCGGCUAACUCCGUG
rnacentral:rRNA from 1 species